AGUGAACGCUGGCGGUAGGCCUAACACAUGCAAGUCGAACGGCAGCACAGUAAGAGCUUGCUCUUACGGGUGGCGAGUGGCGGACGGGUGAGGAAUACAUCGGAAUCUACUUUUUCGUGGGGGAUAACGUAGGGAAACUUACGCUAAUACCGCAUACGACCUACGGGUGAAAGCAGGGGAUCUUCGGACCUUGUGCGAUUGAAUGAGCCGAUGUCGGAUUAGCUAGUUGGCGGGGUAAAGGCCCACCAAGGCGACGAUCCGUAGCUGGUCUGAGAGGAUGAUCAGCCACACUGGAACUGAGACACGGUCCAGACUCCUACGGGAGGCAGCAGUGGGGAAUAUUGGGCAAUGGGCGCAAGCCUGAUCCAGCCAUACCGCGUGGGUGAAGAAGGCCUUCGGGUUGUAAAGCCCUUUUGUUGGGAAAGAAAAGCAGCAGGUUAAUACCCCGCUGUUCUGACGGUACCCAAAGAAUAAGCACCGGCUAACUUCGUG
rnacentral:rRNA from 1 species